rnacentral:rRNA from 1 species
UACGUAGGGUGCGAGCGUUAAUCGGAAUUACUGGGCGUAAAGCGUGCGCAGGCGGUUUGUUAAGACAGAUGUGAAAUCCCCGGGCUUAACCUGGGAACUGCAUUGGUGACUGGCAGGCUUUGAGUGUGGCAGAGGGAGGUAGAAUUCCACGUGUAGCAGUGAAAUGCGUAGAGAUGUGGAGGAAUACCGAUGGCGAAGGCAGCCUCCUGGGCCAACACUGACGCUCAUGCACGAAAGCGUGGGGAGCAAACAGG